rnacentral:rRNA from 1 species
AAUAGAUACCCGGGUAGUCCACGCCGUAAACGAUGUCGACUUGGAGGUUGUUCCCUUGAGGAGUGGCGUUCCGGAGCUAACGCGUUAAGUCGACCGCCUGGGGAGUACGGCCGCAAGGUUAAAACUCAAAUGAAUUGACGGGGGCCCGCACAAGCGGUGGAGCAUGUGGUUUAAUUCGAUGCAACGCGAAGAACCUUACCUACUCUUGACAUCCAGAGAACUUAGCAGAGAUGCUUUGGUGCCUUCGGGAACUCUGAGACAGGUGCUGCAUGGCUGUCGUCAGCUCGUGUUGUGAAUGUUGGGUUAAGUCCCGCAACGAGCGCAACCCUUAUCCUUUGUUGCCAGUCGGUUCGGCCGGGUAACUUAAAGGAGACUGCCAGUGAUAAACUGGAGGAAGGUGGGGAUGACGUCAAGUCAUCAUGGCCCUUACGAGUAGGGCUACACACGUGCUACAAUGGCGUAUACAAAGAGAAGCGACCUCGCGAGAGCAAGCGGACCUCAUAAAGUACGUCGUAGUCCGGAUUGGAGUCUGCAACUCGACU